rnacentral:rRNA from 1 species
AACGAACGCUGGCGGCAUGCCUAACACAUGCAAGUCGAACGAAGGCUUCGGCCUUAGUGGCGCACGGGUGCGUAACGCGUGGGAAUCUGCCCUUUGGUUCGGAAUAACAGCUGGAAACGGCUGCUAAUACCGGAUGAUGACGAAAGUCCAAAGAUUUAUCGCCAGAGGAUGAGCCCGCGUUGGAUUAGGUAGUUGGUGGGGUAAAGGCCUACCAAGCCGACGAUCCAUAGCUGGUCUGAGAGGAUGAUCAGCCACACUGGGGCUGAGACACGGCCCAGACUCCUACGGGAGGCAGCAGUGGGGAAUAUUGGACAAUGGGCGCAAGCCUGAUCCAGCAAUGCCGCGUGAGUGAUGAAGGCCCUAGGGUUGUAAAGCUCUUUUACCCGGGAAGAUAAUGACUGUACCGGGAGAAUAGGCCCCGGCUAACUCCGUG